AAAACAGUCCUUUAAGAUUAACCAAUUCAAGCUGCAAUCCUGUGGAUGUGGAUCAUGGAAUUCAGUGGGGCUUACUUCUGAGUAAUGUACAGCAUGAAAUUGCAACAGGAGGGACCCCUUCUGUACCAAAGUAAGGCCAUUUUCAGUUGAGUCGGGUCGUAUUGGUAAAUUUUCAGUAGCUUUGCAAGGAAGGGAGAAUACCAGAUAACUUAACUGAACCCUUGUGAGUCCUCAUUGGUCACACCCCAUGACCUUCAAGCACCGCCCCCUGCCACCACCAGCCACCACUGGCCUCGGGUGCCAAGUGCUGGCACCAGGCCUGUAGGGGGGGUUCUGAGAAAAAAUGUUGCUUCAGUUCGUGGCUCUAUCCACCAUGAGCAGAAGAAGAAAGCAAAGUAACCAUCAGCGGAGUGUUUGUGUGAAUCAGCCCACACAGACACACCUCCAGCUAACACAAAGAGAGGAGCGCUGAAGCAAGAGUCUUUGCGUGGAAUGAGAGGAGAGGGGCGCUAUCUUUUCCUUCACUUCAGACAGCAGAGCAUCUUGGCCUGACACUAGAGGAAAUCCACAGCACGAUGAAAUCAUUGACAGAGAGAGAAUGGCACAGGCUGCCAUUUUGGCAGCAGCCCUCUGUUUAUUUACUACUUUAUCUAUUCCCAUUUCUGAAUGGCUUCCUAUGAAACAUUGCUAUUAAAUAAAAGUGUCAACAAUUCAAACAU